rnacentral:rRNA from 1 species
GAGUUUGAUCAUGGCUCAGGAUGAAGCUAGCGGGAGGCCUAACACAUGCAAGCCGAGCGGUAUAGAAUCUUCGGAUUUUAAAGAGCGGCGUACGGGUGCGGAACACGUUGUGGCAACUACCUUUAUCUGGAGGAUAGCCUUUCGAAAGGAAGAUUAAUACUCCCAUAAUAUAUUGAUUGGCAUCAAUUAAUAUUGAAAGCUCCGGCGGAUAGAGAUUGGGCACGCGCAAGAUUAGUUAGUUGGUGAGGUAACGGCUCACCAAGACGAUGAUCUUUAGGGGGCCUGAGAGGGUGAUCCCCACACUGGUACUGAGACACGGACCAGACUCCUACGGGAGGCAGCAGUGAGGAAUAUUGGACAAUGGGUGCAAGCCUGAUCCAGCCAUCCCGCGUGAAGGACGACUGCCUAUGGGUUGUAAACUUCUUUGUAUAGGGAUAAACCUCUCCUCGUGAGGAGAGCUGAAGGUACUAUACGAAUAAGCACCGGCUAACUCCGUG